rnacentral:ribozyme from 2 species
CUUUUAAUGCAGCCGUGAUAAUAAGCCAUCUGGCAUCACGACGGUCCCAAGCCCGAUAAUGCAGAGGGAAGA